ACUUUUCACUUCAUCUUCUCCAAACUCUGUUUAUUUAUUUUUUUCCGUUUCUUAAAAGUUUUGCUCCGGCUCCCCUUAUACUCCCACCUCUAUAAAACUCUAUCUAUUAACCUAAAUCCAUUGGAAAUAAAAGAACCUACUAUGCAGAAACCACAAUAUCUUUGGGAUCCUAUUUACUUGCUCAAAAAUCUCUUACCCUAUAGCUAUGGUUUUUAUGACGAUGUUUAUAAGAAAAAACACCCGUAAUGAGAUCUUUAUUAAGCAAGAAAUUGUGAAGCUCACCAAUUUGGUAUUGAUGUCACCAAGUGCAACGAGUGGACAGGUGCGAGAUCACAUUGGAACAACUCCAAACCCUUAUCAGGAAGCUAUUAACCGGUUGUACAGGUCUGACAUCUUUUUGCACCCAUCAUUGAAAGAGCCAUGACGAUCGUGGAAGACAGGAGAUGUAUGGAGACUACUUGAAGCUCAAAUCAAGAGUUGAGAUCCUAGAACAUUCACAACGGUACUUAGCGUGAUUCACUACAUAUCUUUUUUUUUUUUUUGGUCAAAAGCUCUGAGGGUGGACAAGGAGAAUCGAGGAGAUGGGUUACGUGUUUGAUUUGAUGCAGAAGAGAAUAAUGAAGAGGGAUGCUACUACUUUCUUGACUGUGUUCAAGUGUCUCUCUGUGAGAGGCGAGUUGCGGCAAGCGCCUUAUGCGCUAAGGAAGAUGAGAGAGUCUGGUCUUUUCGCGUUGAAUGUGUAUUCGUUGAUUCAUCUCCUGGUCAAGUCUAGGUUCUGCACAGAGGCGAUGGAGGUUUACAGAAGCAUGGUCUCUGAUGGUUUUAGGCCUAGCUUGCAGACUUACUCUUCGCUUAUGGUAGGGUUAGGGAAGAGAAGAGAGAUUGGCGCUGUGAUGGGUUUGCUUAGAGAGAUGGAGACGUUGGGGUUAAAGCCUAAUGUCUACACGUUUACUAUAUCUAUCCGUGUGCUUGGUAGAGCGGGGAAGAUUGAUGAAGCGUAUGAUAUACUGAAGAGGAUGGAUGAUGAAGGAUGUGGACAUGAUGUGGUUAUCUACACUGUUCUUAUAGAUGCUCUUUGCACAGGUGGGAAGCUAGAUUGUGCUAAGGAGGUUUUCGCAAAGAUGAAGGCAUGGUGACACAAACCUACGGUUAAUCUAAUUAUGGAACCAAGAGUUGAAAACCCAGAUUGGAGACCCCUGCCAUAAUGCAUAAAUGGCUUGAUUUUUAACGAGGAAACCCAAACCAGUAAACACAUCAUGGCGAUAUUAGGAUUGAGAGGGAGUUAAUGACUUUCCUGGUGCUGGAGCUGCGAAGACAAGCCUCUGUCCUGUUGUGAACAGAGUUGUGACAACAAACACAAAAGGCUGUUGAUGGUGUGAACACAAAAGUCUGUUGAUGGUGUGGUCGAAAGAGAGUAGCUAAGACAGAUGCACCAACUGACCCCCUGUUGAUUCCAGAAACACUGGAGGAAGAACCGCAUAGAACAGUUGGGCCAUUGUCACUCCGCUAAGAAGACCCGCAUAAUAAGAUGCUACAACCUUUUUAAAAAUUCCAGAGGAGUCUGUAACACGGAGGCAUAAACUUUUUGUCUGUUCAAAAUCUGUGUUUAUUUUGAUCAGAGCUCCAACUCCAAGACCCUUCAGUCCAAAAAAAACACUCCAAGACCUCCUGUGCAGCACAGCCCUACGAGAUUCGAUACAACUACACUCAAUGGUAAACCACACACAUAAAAAGAGAAAUAAAGACGGCAAAGGCAAAUUAUGGUUGACAAAGACUUGUAGAAUAGGAAUAGUACUUUCCUCCAGACACAUCACUCUAUUGCUACCUUCUUUUGUGUACUGACUAGUGCUUGUUAGGCAUGUGGCUCUCACCUUUGAAAGCUUUUUGUUUCCCU